UUUACGAGGCCAAAUGGCCGCAAUUCAUUCUUCCAAUUAUGAAGCUUCACAAAACUUUCAUAUGGAAAAAGACCCUGAAAGAAACAUAUCUGAUGAAUACAGCGUCUAAAAUCUUAUGUGGAUUACAGGUGAAAAUCACAUAUAAUCUAGAAAUGUAUACCUUGUUACCAUAUCUUCCAGCGUCUAAAAUCUUAUGAGCAUUACAGGUGGAAAUCACAUAUAAUCUAGAAAUGUAUACCUUGUUACCAUAUCUUCCAACGACCUCACACUCAUCCCCCAAAUUAUUAUGCCGUGUCAGCUUUGAACCCCUGACCUGGUCAACGACUUUCAACACCGAUGACUU
rnacentral:lncRNA from 1 species